GUAGGUGGCAAGCGUUGUCCGGAAUUAUUGGGCGUAAAGCGCGCGCAGGGCGGUCCUUUAAGUCUGAUGUGAAAGCCCACGGCUCAACCGUGGAGGGUCAUUGGAAACUGGGGGACUUGAGUACAGAAGAGGAAAGCGGAAUUCCACGUGUAGCGGUGAAAUGCGUAGAGAUGUGGAGGAACACCAGUGGCGAAGGCGGCUUUCUGGUCUGUAACCGACGCUGAGGCGCGAAAGCGUGGGGAGCAAACAGGAUUAGAUACCCUGGUAGUCCACGCCGUAAACGAUGAGUGCUAAGUGUUAGGGGGUUUCCGCCCCUUAGUGCUGCAGCUAACGCAUUAAGCACUCCGCCUGGGGAGUACGGCCGCAAGGCUG
rnacentral:rRNA from 1 species